rnacentral:rRNA from 1 species
GAUGAACGCUGGCGGCGUGCUUAACACAUGCAAGUCGAACGAUGAAAGCGGGAGCUUGCUCCUGCUGGAUUAGUGGCGAACGGGUGAGUAACACGUGAGCAAUCUGCCCUGAACUCUGGGAUAAGCGUUGGAAACGACGUCUAAUACCGGAUACGACACGCGAAGGCAUCUUCUGCGCGUGGAAAGAACUUCGGUUCGGGAUGAGCUCGCGGCCUAUCAGCUAGUUGGUGAGGUAACGGCCCACCAAGGCGACGACGGGUAGCCGGCCUGAGAGGGUGACCGGCCACACUGGGACUGAGACACGGCCCAGACUCCUACGGGAGGCAGCAGUGGGGAAUAUUGCACAAUGGGCGCAAGCCUGAUGCAGCAACGCCGCGUGAGGGACGACGGCCUUCGGGUUGUAAACCUCUUUUAGUAGGGAAGAAGCGAAAGUGACGGUACCUGCAGAAAAAGCACCGGCUAACUACGUGCCAGCCGCCGCAGUAAAAC